rnacentral:rRNA from 1 species
AUGGCGCUGUCCUCCGGAGAAGACACAGAAAAUAUCAGUUCACCUGGGAAAUCAUAUCAGUCCAACUACCCUAUAACUGGAAUUAACCGAUGCAAGUCCAAGAAGGAUUGGCCAGUGCUGCCGGCUGCCGUCAAGUUCGAUCCCACAGAUCAGGAGCUGAUCGAGCACCUUGAGGCCAAAGUGAGUGCUGACAGCGCGAGAUCUCACCCUCUCAUCGAUUUGUUCAUACCAACCAUCGACAGCGAGCACGGCAUAUGCUACACCCACCGUGAGAAACUUCCAGGUAUCACACCGAGUGGCCUAAGCAAGCAUUUCGUCCAGUGCAAUUCUAGGGUGUUCAAAAGGGGCACGUGGACGCGUCGCAAGAUAUAG